AACGAACGCUGGCGGCAUGCCUAACACAUGCAAGUCGAACGAGACCUUCGGGUCUAGUGGCGCACGGCUGCGUAACGCGUGGGAACCUGCCCUUAGGUUCGGCAUAACUACCCGAAUGGGGUGCUAAUACCGGAUAAUGUCUUCGGACCAAAGAUUUAUCGCCCUUGGAUGGGCCCGCGUUGGAUUAGCUAGUUGGUAGGGUAAAAGCCUACCAAGGCGACGAUCCAUAGCUUGUCUGAGAGGAUGAUCAGCCACACUGGGACUGAGACACGGCCCAGACUCCUACGGGAGGCAGCAGUGGGGAAUAUUGGACAAUGGGCGAAAGCCUGAUCCAGCAAUGCCGCGUGAGUGAUGAAGGCCUUAGGGUUGUAAAGCUCUUUUACCCGGGAUGAUAAUGACAGUACCGGGAGAAUAAGCUCCGGCUAACUCCGUG
rnacentral:rRNA from 1 species